rnacentral:rRNA from 1 species
UACGUAGGUGACAAGCGUUGUCCGGAUUUACUGGGCGUAAAGAGCGCGCAGGCGGUCGUUCAAGUCGAGUGUGAAAGCCCCCGGCUCAACUGGGGAGGGUCACUCGAUACUGAUCGACUUGAAGGCAGGAGAGGGAGGCGGAAUUCCCGGUGUAGUGGUGAAAUGCGUAGAUAUCGGGAGGAACACCAGUGGCGAAGGCGGCUUCCUGGCCUGCUCUUGACGCUGAGGCGCGAAAGCUAGGGUAGCAAACGGG